rnacentral:rRNA from 1 species
GAUGAACGCUGGCGGCGUGCCUAAUACAUGCAAGUCGAGCGAACAGACGAGGAGCUUGCUCCUCUGACGUUAGCGGCGGACGGGUGAGUAACACGUGGAUAACCUACCUAUAAGACUGGGAUAACUUCGGGAAACCGGAGCUAAUACCGGAUAAUAUAUUGAACCGCAUGGUUCAAUAGUGAAAGACGGUUUUGCUGUCACUUAUAGAUGGAUCCGCGCCGCAUUAGCUAGUUGGUAAGGUAACGGCUUACCAAGGCGACGAUGCGUAGCCGACCUGAGAGGGUGAUCGGCCACACUGGAACUGAGACACGGUCCAGACUCCUACGGGAGGCAGCAGUAGGGAAUCUUCCGCAAUGGGCGAAAGCCUGACGGAGCAACGCCGCGUGAGUGAUGAAGGUCUUCGGAUCGUAAAACUCUGUUAUUAGGGAAGAACAAAUGUGUAAGUAAAUAUGCACGUCUUGACGGUACCUAAUCAGAAAGCCACGGCUAACUACGUG